rnacentral:rRNA from 1 species
GAUGAACGCUGGCGGCGUGCCUAAUACAUGCAAGUCGAGCGAACAGACGAGGAGCUUGCUCCUCUGACGUUAGCGGCGGACGGGUGAGUAACACGUGGAUAACCUACCUAUAAGACUGGGAUAACUUCGGGAAACCGGAGCUAAUACCGGAUAAUAUAUUGAACCGCAUGGUUCAAUAGUGAAAGACGGUUUUGCUGUCACUUAUAGAUGGAUCCGCGCCGCAUUAGCUAGUUGGUAAGGUAACGGCCUACCAAGGCAACGAUGCGUAGCCGACCUGAGAGGGUGGACGGUCACACUGGGACUGAGACACGGCCCAGACUCCUACGGGAGGCAGCAGUGGGGAAUAUUGCACAAUGGGCGCAAGCCUGAUGCAGCGACGCCGCGUGAGGGAUGGAGGCCUUCGGGUUGUGAACCUCUUUCGCCAGUGAAGCAGGCCUGCCUCGUUUGUGGGUGGGUUGACGGUAGCUGGAUAAGAAGCGCCGGCUAACUACGUG